UGCAAACUUCGCAUGUUUUCAAUUAAAUCGAAAUAAUUUGGUAUAUUAGAAUUUUCUGACAAUUACCGAACAUUUAAAAAAUAUGAUUUUCUUAAAAAUAUGAAAACAGAAAACCCACAAGUAGCUGGAAGGCAAGAUGUAGGCACAUAGGCAUGCUUGAUUUAUCAAGUUCAAAUUUAUCUAGAGCUAGGACAGGGCUUAAUGUUGUGCAAUUUUAUGUGAAAC
ensembl:ncRNA Y47D3B.19 ncRNA